AUAUUGGACAAUGGGCGCAAGCCUGAUCCAGCCAUGCCGCGUGAGUGAUGAAGGCCCUAGGGUUGUAAAGCCCUUUUGUGCGGGAAGAUAAUGACUGUACCGCAAGAAUAAGCCCCGGCUAACUUCGUGCCAGCAGCCGCGGUAAUACGAAGGGGGCUAGCGUUGCUCGGAAUCACUGGGCGUAAAGGGUGCGUAGGCGGGUCUUUAAGUCAGGGGUGAAAUCCUGGAGCUCAACUCCAGAACUGCCUUUGAUACUGAAGAGCUUGAGUUCGGGAGAGGUGAGUGGAACUGCGAGUGUAGAUGUGAAAUUCGUAGAUAUUCGCAAGAACACCAGUGGCGAAGGCGGCUCACUGGCCUGAUACUGACGCUGAGGCACGAAAGCGUGGGGAG
rnacentral:rRNA from 1 species